rnacentral:SRP_RNA from 1 species
GCCGGGUGCGGUGGCAUGGUGCUGUAAUCCAAGUCACUGGGAGGCUGAGGUUGGUGGAUCAAGUGAGCUGAGGAGCUCUGGGCUGCAGCACACUAUUUGGAACGGGUGUCCACGCUAAGUUCGGUAUCGAUAUGGUGUUCCUGGGGGAGUCCCGGGCCACCAGGUUGUCUAAGGAGGGUGAACCGGCCAGGUCGGAAACGAAGCAGGUCAAAUCCCCUUUGCUGUCAGUAGUGGUAUUCAUACUUGUAGAUGCUGCUGGCCAGCCUUGGCAAAACAUCGAGACCUAAUUUUUU